AUACUUGCCAGGCAGGGGGGUUUCCACAAUCAUGGAGGUGAUUUCCCCAGUGUGAGACUUAUCCUUUGCAUUCCAGAUGAGCCAACCAUUGUGAUAUCCCCUAAUUUAGGAAACUGGACUGCAUGAUUUGUGUUAGUGAGGGGACUCCAUUUGUGCUCCCUCCUG
ensembl:snRNA U1 U1 spliceosomal RNA